rnacentral:rRNA from 1 species
AGCGAACGCUGGCGGCAGGCCUAACACAUGCAAGUCGAACGAACUCUUCGGAGUUAGUGGCGGACGGGUGAGUAACACGUGGGAACGUGCCUUUAGGUUCGGAAUAACUCAGGGAAACUUGUGCUAAUACCGAAUGUGCCCUUCGGGGGAAAGAUUUAUCGCCUUUAGAGCGGCCCGCGUCUGAUUAGCUAGUUGGUGAGGUAAAGGCUCACCAAGGCGACGAUCAGUAGCUGGUCUGAGAGGAUGAUCAGCCACAUUGGGACUGAGACACGGCCCAAACUCCUACGGGAGGCAGCAGUGGGGAAUCUUGCGCAAUGGGCGAAAGCCUGACGCAGCCAUGCCGCGUGAAUGAUGAAGGUCUUAGGAUUGUAAAAUUCUUUCACCGGGGACGAUAAGGACGGUACCCGGAGAAGAAGCCCCGGCUAACUUCGU